CCUACGGGUGGCAGCAGUGGGGGAUAUUGCACAAUGGGGGAAACCCUGAUGCAGCGACGCCGCGUGGGUGAAGAAGCGCCUCGGCGCGUAAAGCCCUGUCAGCAGGGAAGAAAAUGACGGUAUCUGAAGAAGAAGCCCCGGCUAACUACGUGCCAGCAGCCGCGGUAAUACGUAGGGGGCAAGCGUUAUCCGGAUUUACUGGGUGUAAAGGGGGCGCAGACGGCGAUGCAAGCCAGGAGUGAAAGCCCGGGGCCCAACCCCGGGACUGCUCUUGAAACUGCGUGGCUAGAGUGCAGGAGGGGCAGGCGGAAGUCCUGGUGUAGCGGUGAAAUGCGUAGAUAUCAGGAAGAACACCGGUGGCGAAGGCGGACUACUGGACUGCAACUGACGUUGAGGCGCGAAAGCGUGGGGAGCAAACAGGAUUAGAUACCCUAGUAGUC
rnacentral:rRNA from 1 species